UGUGCCAGCAGCCGCGGUAAUACGUAGGGUGCGAGCGUUAAUCGGAAUUACUGGGCGUAAAGCGAGCGCAGACGGUUACUUAAGCAGGAUGUGAAAUCCCCGGGCUCAACCUGGGAACUGCGUUCUGAACUGGGUGACUAGAGUGUGUCAGAGGGAGGUAGAAUUCCACGUGUAGCAGUGGAAUGCGUAGAGAUGUGGAGGAAUACCGAUGGCGAAGGGAGCCUCCUGGGAUAACACUGACGUUCAUGCUCGAAAGCGUGGGUAGCAAACAGGAUUAGAUAC
rnacentral:rRNA from 1 species